rnacentral:misc_RNA from 1 species
CGGGUUAGGGCUGUAUUUGAGAAGGUGGGGCUUAAAUACAAUGAAUCUGUGGUAAUAAGGAUUACAGGUUGUCCCAAUGGUUGUGCUAGACCAUAUAUGGCUGAACUUGGAUUUGUUGGUGAUGGUCCCAAUAGUUAUCAGAUUUGGCUUGGUGGAACACCCAAUCAAACUGCAUUGGCAAGAAGCUUCAUGGAUAAGGUUAAGAUUCAAGACCUCGAACGUGUUCUGGAACCUCUUUUUUAUCAUUGGAAACAGAGAAGGCAAUCCAAAGAAUCAUUUGGCGAAUUCAUAACUCGAAUGGGAUUUGAGAAACUUCAGGAGUGGGUUGACAAUUGGGAAGGUGUUGUGUCUACACCACCCAAAUACAACCUAAGGUUCUUCUCUGAUAAGGAUACAUAUGAUAAAAUUGAUGAACUUGCAAAGUUGCAGAAUAAGACUGCUGACCAGUUAGCCAUGGAAAUUAUUCACAAUUAUGUUGUUUCACAUCAAAAUGGAAAAGGGGAAUGAGGUGUUCAUGUGCAUCACAUACAAGAUGUUACAGCCAAGUAAAUUGGCUAAGGUGAAUAAGAGGAACAGCUUAUCCUUCUCUAUGCAGUUAUGGUUUGGUAACAGCUCUGUAAUGAAUGGUACUCAGUUUUGGUAUCGUUUUUUAUGGCAGUUUUGCUAGAGGAAGUAUUUACAAGAAUUGUGUUGUGUAUUAUUUAAACUCAAGCCUUGGAUCCAAUUAAGCUAAAUUGUUAGGAGAUCUUUUUUCAUUU